rnacentral:rRNA from 1 species
AAUCAACGCCCAUUUUGUUAGCGAGAGCCACAAAAAAGCGAAUUCCAAUAUAUGUUUUUGGCUUUAUGUGCGCAUCCUCUACCUAUUAAGUGUUAAUUAAAUUAUAAGGGUUUCUUUUUAAAAUCUUCUAUAACUAAUAAAAAAAUACGGAAGAUUUUGUUACUUUGAGU